rnacentral:rRNA from 1 species
UCUGGUUGAUCCUGCAGUAGUUAUAUGCUUGUCUCAAAGAUUAAGCCAUGCAUGUCUAAGUACACACGAAUUAAAAGUGAAACGCAAAAGGCUCAUUAUAUCAGUUAUGGUUCCUUAGAUCGUUAACAGUUACUUGGAUAACUGUGGUAAUUCUAGAGCUAAUACAUGCAAUUAAAACAUGAACCUAUAUGGGACAUGUGCUUUUAUUAGGCUAAAACCAAGCGAUCGCAAGAUCGUUAUAUUGGUUGAACUCUAGAUAACAUGCAGAUCGUAUGGUCUUGUACCGACGACAGAUCUUUCAAAUGUCUGCCCUAUCAACUUUUGAUGGUAGUAUCUAGGACUACCAUGGUUGCAACGGGUAACGGGGAAUCAGGGUUCGAUUCCGGAGAGGGACCUGAGAAACGGCUACCACAUCUAAGGAAGGCAGCAGGCGCGUAAAUUACCCACUCCCAGCUCGGGGAGGUAGUGACGAAAAAUAACAAUACAGGACUCAUAUCCGAGGCCCUGUAAUUGGAAUGAGUACACUUUAAAUCCUUUAACAAGGACCAAUUGGAGGGCAAGUCUGGUGCCAGCAAGCCGCGGUAAUUCCAGCUCCAAUAGCGUAUAUUAAAGUUGUUGCGGUUAAAACGUUUCGUAGUUGAACUUGUGCUUCAUACGGGUAGUACAACUUACAAUUGUGGUUAGACUAUACCUUUAUGUAUGUAAGCGUAUUCCGGUGGAGUUCUUAUAUGUGAUUAAAUACUUGUAUCUUUUCAUACAAAAAGUUAAAAUCAAAAUAAAAACGAAGAUGGGGCUUUGGCAACCUCAUAAAAAGAUUUUAACAUUUCUAAUGUAUGUUGUGCGUAUUUGUGGCGAGUACUUUACAACAACGGCGUUUCCUAUAAAAAAUAAUGUUUUCGAACAUGAAAAUCGAAAAAACAAAAUUCGAAAGUGGAAGUCGAAUCAAAAUAAAAUAAUUUCGAAUGUGUGGUAAUCAUCGAAAUAAGUGUUAAUAUAAUUGAGAUAUUAACUAAUUUUUUAAAAAUUUGUGUGUAUUUAUUACUAUACACGCGUUGCGAAUAUGUAUUGUUCAUCUUAGUUAUGGGCAUACGUUGGCUAAUGCAACAACCUGAAAUAAAACAAUGUUGUACCUGGCAUCCAUCAGGUUAAUGUUUUUAUAUAAAUUGCAGUAUG